CUUUUUGGUGUGGUACCCUGUCAUGUUUGCGGAAGUAUAGUUUGUAUUCUCCCCUCUGUCAUUCUUCAGAAAGUAUUUUGCAACAUUCGUUACUUCAUAGUAUAACUACAUGUCCAGCCUUUUCUGAUUUCAAAGAUAGUACAAAAGAAAGAUGAAUCUGCCAAAGCGGCCGGAUUCUCUGUGUUUCGACAAGGACGUGUUUAUGAAGGAUGACUUCGACGUGGAUCAGUUUGUUGCAGAUUGCAGAAAGCAUGUCCAACUGGAGGAGAUGCGCGAGGACCUUGAGAUGUAUUACAAACAGCUCAAAACAGCCAUGGUUGAGCUCAUCAAUAAAGACUAUGCUGACUUUGUCAACCUCUCCACCAAUCUGGUUGGAAUGGACAAAGCCCUGAACCAGCUAUCAGUACCACUGGGUCAGUUGCGUGAAGAGGUGCUGAACUUGAGAACAUCUGUAAGUGAGGUGGUCCAAGCCAUUGACAACCAGCUCUCCAAGCAAGAUGAUUUGCAAAACAAAAAGAUCAAUGUCAUGAAACUCAUACAAGUUGUUCGAUCGGUAGAGAAGAUUGAAAAAAUCCUACAUUCUCAGAACUCAAAAGACUGGACAUCUCUUGAGAUGAGCAGUCCUCUCUUAGCUGGCCAGAUUCUGGAGCGGAUUGCCACAGAGUUCAACCAGCUGCAGUUCCAUGCUGUCCAAAGCAAGGGCAUGCCCCUGCUGGACAAAGUCAGGCCUCGUAUUUCUGGCAUCACGUCCACGCUACAGCAGUCUUUGGAGGGGCUCCUCAUACAGGGCCUCCAGACCUCCAACGUGGACAUUGUGCGUCACUGCCUACGCACCUAUGCCACCAUCGACAAGACCAGGGACGCAGAGGCACUGGUGGGACAAGUCCUGGUCAAGCCCUAUAUGGACAUGGUCAUUGUUGAACAGUUUGUCAAGUCCACCCCCAAUGGCCUUCAAAUAUUGUUCACCAAGCUCCUACAGUUUGUGCCACAUCACUGUAGACUGCUGCGCGAGGUGACUGGAAUGGUCAUUUCAAGUGAGAAGGCAGACAUAGUCCCGGGAUACGACUUCUUGGUGAACUCAGUGUGGCCGGAAAUCAUCAAAGGUAUCGAGGAGAGAAUCACAUCUCUCUUCAAUGCGGGCAACCCUGACACCUUUUAUGACAGAUACACUAUCAGCAUUGACUUUGUGAGAAAGUUUGAGAGACAGUGUGGCUCCCAAGCCAGUGUGAGGAGACUGAGAGCUCACGCCUCCUAUCAGAGCUUCCACAACAAGUGGAACCUACCUAUCUACUUCCAGCUCAGGUACAAGGAAAUUGCUGCAUGUUUAGAGAAUGCUAUUGCUGAUGGGUUAGAGGCAGCAGCAGCAGGCAGCUCCUAUCACCUGCUGGUGUCCCAAGUGCUGUGGAACAGCUUGGUCAGGUGCUGGGCGGAGAAGGUCUAUCUGUCCCCGCUGGUUCACCGCUUCUGGAAGCUCACCCUGCAGCUGAUCUCACGCUACUCCAAGUUCCUCACUGAGAUGCUGACUAAAUCUCCCUCCACGGACAUCAGUAAAGACCCAGUGAGGCUCCUCCCCAGCUCCGCCUCCUCCACGUCCAGUCGCACCUCUCAGGAUGAUGGGGGCAGCGAGAGCGGCAGCCCAGCAACCCUCUCCACCCAACAGCUGGUCUUUAUAGCCUCUGAUGUGAACCAACUACAAGACCAGAUUACGGAACUUUCUGAGAUGAUUAUGCAGAGACUGGAGAUCAUUGGGUACAACAACGUUGUAAUUGUUGCAGAGGCCCUAGAAGACUCCAAAGACUCCCUGUCUGGCUGCAUUCCCACCUUGAACCGCAAGAUGACUCAGCAUUUAACCGAGAGGUGCUUCCGCUACCUGAAGAGUGCUUCUGAAGUCCCCCGACUGUACCGCAGGACCAACAAGGAACUUCCCUCCAGAGCCUCUGCCUACAUGGACAACGCCCUGCGGCCGCUGCACCAGCUCCUGAGCGACUCCAAAGACAUGGUGAAGCCCUCCAUCUCCCAGGAAUGGCUACGGAUCACACUCAAUGACUGCACUCACAGGGUCAAUGCAGUGAGUCACAAUGUUUUGUCCAAAGAAUGGCACCACACAAGGUCACCAACUAACAUUGAAUUGAAUUCCAUGGCACUCAACCACACUAACUUAAGUAGCUUUUUGUUCUGCCCCACCAAGCACAGAAGUCUGUAAUUUUCCAUCUUGACUUUGGGCAGAUAUUUUGAAACCAUAUCAGAUGUUUUGAGUUCUGUGAAAAAAAUGGAGGAGAGUUUAAAGAGACUGAAGCAAGCAAGGAAAACAGUGACCACCAACACGACAGGAACCACCGGAGGCCCCACAGACGACAGCAAGAUCCGCCUGCAGCUGGCUUUGGAUGUGGAGUACCUGGGAGAGCAGAUUCAGAAGAUGGGUCUGCAGCCUGCCGACAUCACCAUGUUCUCAACACUAAAUGACUUGGUCCAAGGAGCACAGGACGGGACUCCAUCAGAGCAGGCUGGACCAUAAUCCUGCACCAAUGUACUUGUAAGAAGAAAGUCAUAUUUAUGUUGAACACUGAUCAUAUGGGACAUGGCAUUGAAAAUCAGGAGAAUUUCUAAAUGUCAUUGUACAAUAGCAAUGAAAUAUUUCCUACUGGCUCCCUGGCUGUUCAUAGCAGCAAAUGUCUAAUUGAAUGGGGCCUAAAGGGUUUAACCCUAACCCCUUUAAAUAUAUUGUGUGUGGUGAACAGAGUUGGUGAAUGAUGAGAUAUAUAUUGUACAUUUUAAAUAAAAUGAAUCAAAGUUUGAUUAACAGCUUUUAAUUAUUGUAUGUUGUGUAAAUGUGAUUCAAGUGACCUAAUAAGACAUCUGUCUACGUUCAGCUGUUAUGUAACAUAAUAAAGUAUCUCUCGAAGUUCA